rnacentral:tRNA from 2 species
GGCUGCGUAGCUCAGUUGGUUUAGAGCGGCUGACUCAUACCCAGCAGGUCGGGGGUUCAAAUCCCUCCGCAGCUACCA